rnacentral:rRNA from 1 species
CCUUUGAAACGUGAGCGCUAGCUUACGUGGAGGCAUUGGUGGGAUACUACCCUAGCUGUGUUGGCUUUCUAACCCGCACCACUUAUCGUGGUGGGAGACAGUGUCAGGUGGGCAGUUUGACUGGGGCGGUCGCCUCCUAAAAGGUAACGGAGGCGCUCAAAGGUUCCCUCAGAAUGGUUGGAAAUCAUUCAUAGAGUGUAAAGGCAUAAGGGAGCUUGACUGCGAGACUUACAAGUCGAGCAGGGUCGAAAGACGGACUUAGUGAUCCGGUGGUUCCGCAUGGAAGGGCCAUCGCUCAACGGAUAAAAGCUACCCCGGGGAUAACAGGCUUAUCUCCCCCAAGAGUUCACAUCGACGGGGAGGUUUGGCACCUCGAUGUCGGCUCAUCGCAUCCUGGGGCUGUAGUCGGUCCCAAGGGUUGGGCUGUUCGCCCAUUAAAGCGGUACGCGAGCUGGGUUCAGAACGUCGUGAGAC